rnacentral:piRNA from 1 species
UUCAUGAUUCUGACUGACACUUGGUUGCU